rnacentral:rRNA from 1 species
UCGAGCGGCGAACGGGUGAGUAACACGUGAGUAAUCUGCCCCUGGNUUCGGAUANCACCGGAAACGGUGAUUAAUACCGGAUAUGACAGACCCUCGCAUGGGGGUGUGUGGAAAGUUUUUCGGCCAGGGAUGUGCUCGCGGCCUAUCAGCUUGAUGGUGAGGUAAUGGCUCACCAUGGCUUCGACGGGUAGCCGGCCUGAGAGGGUGACCGGUCACACUGGGACUGAGACACGGCCCAGACUCAUACGGGAGGCAGCAGUGGGGAAUAUUGGACAAUGGGCGGAAGCCUGAUCCAGCAACGCCGCGUGAGGGAUGACGGCCUUCGGGUUGUAAACCUCUUUCAGUACCGACGAAGCGCAAGUGACGGUAGGUACAGAAGAAGCACCGGCCAACUACGUGCCAGCAGCCGCGGUAAUACGUAGGGUGCGAGCGUUGUCCGGAAUUAUUGGGCGUAAAGGGCUCGUAGGCGGUUUGUCGCGUCGGGAGUGAAAACGCCGUGCUUAACACGGCGCUUGCUUCCGAUACGGGCAGACUAGAGGUAUUCAGGGGAGAACGGAAUUCCUGGUGUAGCGGUGAAAUGCGCAGAUAUCAGGAGGAACACCGGUGGCGAAGGCGGUUCUCUGGGAAUGACCUGACGCUGAGGAGCGAAAGUGUGGGGAGCGAACAGGAUUA